CCUACGGGUGGCAGCAGUGAGGAAUAUUGGUCAAUGGCCGGAAGGCUGAACCAGCCAAGCCGCGUGAAGGACGAAGGUCCUAAGGAUUGUAAACUUCUUUUGUCAAGGGAUAAAAUGAGGCCCGAGAGCCUGACCGUAGGUACUUGAAGAAAAAGCAUCGGCUAACUCCGUGCCAGCAGCCGCGGUAAUACGGAGGAUCCGAGCGUUAUCCGGAUUUAUUGGGUUUAAAGGGAGCGUAGGUGGUCUGUUAAGUCAGUGGUAAAAGCCCGGGGCACAACCGCGACGUGCCAUUGAAACUGGCAGUCUUGAGUUGGGUAGAGGUAGGCGGAAUGCGUGGUGUAGCGGUGAAAUGCUUAGAUAUCGCGCAGAACUCCGAUUGCGAAGGCAGCUUAC
rnacentral:rRNA from 1 species